rnacentral:rRNA from 1 species
GACGAACGCUGGCGGCGUGCCUAACACAUGCAAGUUGAGCGCUGAAGGUUGGUACUUGUACCAACUGGAUGAGCAGCGAACGGGUGAGUAACGCGUGGGGAAUCUGCCUUUGAGCGGGGGACAACAUUUGGAAACGAAUGCUAAUACCGCAUAAAAACUUUAAACACAAGUUUUAAGUUUGAAAGAUGCAAUUGCAUCACUCAAAGAUGAUCCCGCGUUGUAUUAGCUAGUUGGUGAGGUAAAGGCUCACCAAGGCGAUGAUACAUAGCCGACCUGAGAGGGUGAUCGGCCACAUUGGGACUGAGACACAGCCCAAACUCCUACGGGAGGCAGCAGUAGGGAAUCUUCGGCAAUGGACGAAAGUCUGACCGAGCAACGCCGCGUGAGUGAAGAAGGUUUUCGGAUCGUAAAACUCUGUUGGUAGAGAAGAACGUUGGUGAGAGUGGAAAGCUCAUCAAGUGACGGUAACUACCCAGAAAGGGACGGCUAACUACGUG